rnacentral:rRNA from 1 species
UACGAAGGGUGCAAACGUUGCCCGGAAUCAUUGGGCGUAAAGCGUACGUAGGCGGCUUUGCAAGUCGGAUGUGAAAUCCCUCGGCUCAACCAAGGAAGUGCAUCCGAAACUGCAGAGCUUGAGUACUUAAGAGGAUGGCGGAAUUCCUGGUGUAGCGGUGAAAUGCGCAGAUAUCAGGAAGAACACCCGUGGCUAAGGCGGCUCUCUAGUACGGUACUGACGCUGAGACGCGAAAGCGUGGGGAGCGAACAGG